rnacentral:lncRNA from 1 species
CAACGAUUGGCUUGUUUAUAUAAUUCUGUGGUCUGGCAGGGAACUGAAACGUGCUAUUCAGAGAUAAGUAAGAAUUGCACCUGGCCUGUCUGAUAGGAAGAGCUGGCUAGAGAAGCUUAUCCAUGAGAGCAGAGGGGAGUGGGGAGCUGGCCAUUAGACCAUUUGGGGCCCCCUUAAUUUCACCAGCGAUCAAGCAGCACAUGAUAUUGAAUCUUAAUUUCAAGCUUUACAUCACUGUUUCUUAACCUGGUUGCACCUUUAUUUCUUCAUCUUCAAAUAGGAAUAAUGGUGCUUAAUUCAUUCGUUAUUUAUGAGUUUUGAAUGAGGCAAUGUGAGGUGAGCAUUGAAUACAGGGACUGGCGCUUGCCAAGUGCGAGGCAUAGGUUGCGUGACUUACAGAGCGUCAUAUGGCUCGUAAGCAGUGAACUCAGAUUUAACCAUCCACCUUUUGUUUCUAGAUCCUGGGAACUUUCUGCAGCACUGAACUGAGAUCUUGUUCAUUGAGCAAAUACCAAUUAGUUUAUCUAUCCACCCAUCUAAACGUACAUGCAUCCAUCCACUUAUUUGCUCAUUCAUUCAAUAAACAGUUAUUGAGCACCUACAGUAUGCAUGGUCCUGGCACUAUGAAGAAGGCUUUUAGAAGCUCAUAGUCUGAUGGAGGAGACAGACAUGGGAUGGGUGCUUUGCAGUGUGAUGGAUGCUAUGCCACAAGCGGUCAAUGCCAAGGACAAACCAAGGAUUUCAGAAAGGAGAGCCAACUUUGCACUUUUCUCCAAAUCUGCUUGCUGCCCAAAGAUCUGGGAGGGGGCCUUCCAAGACUGAAUGGGAAGAUGGAAACCCAGCAGCAUCCAAUACUUCCCAAGCUGGCCUGACCACAACCCUGUGGGCCUUAGGCUCGUCUUUUGUGAAGUGACGGAAACUUCUUUUUCCUGCCUGAUGGUAGACCAUGAACCACUCUACCCGAUGAAAGAGUGCACAGUGCUACCUAAAGAAGAAAACAGUAUUUUCAAC